GAUGAACGCUGGCGGCGUGCUUAACACAUGCAAGUCGAACGGAAAGGCUCCUGCUUGCAGGGGUACUCGAGUGGCGAACGGGUGAGUAACACGUGGGUGAUCUGCCCUGCACUUCGGGAUAAGCCUGGGAAACUGGGUCUAUUACCGGAUAGGACGAUGGUUUGGAUGCCAUUGUGGAAAGUUUUUCGGUGUGGGAUGAGCUCGCGGCCUAUCAGCUUGUUGGUGGGGUAAUGGCCUACCAAGGCGUCGACGGGUAGCCGGCCUGAGAGGGUGUACGGCCACAUUGGGACUGAGAUACGGCCCAGACUCCUACGGGAGGCAGCAGUGGGGAAUAUUGCACAAUGGGCGCAAGCCUGAUGCAGCGACGCCGCGUGGGGGAUGACGGCCUUCGGGUUGUAAACUCCUUUCGCUAGGGACGAAGCGCAAGUGACGGUACCUGGAGAAGAAGCACCGGCUAACUACGUG
rnacentral:rRNA from 1 species